rnacentral:sRNA from 1 species
UCAGCUCAGAACUGGUACG